rnacentral:lncRNA from 1 species
AUUUUUAACAGUAUUUUGACAUCAUUUCAAUCACACAUUUUUCAAUAAAAUAAUAUUACACACAAAUUUAAAAUUUUCUUUUCUUUUAACCACACGUUUCACAUCAAUAUACUAUUCAAAAAUUCAUUCUAUCCCCUAAAAUGGGGCUCAAACAAGGGCACAUAUCGGCAUUAAAAAGGAAGACUUACUGUUGAAGUCCACACAUACCCAUCGCCUAUUUCUUCCUAAGUCUGCCAUUGAAUUAUCUUCACGUUUCCAAACCAUUCACAAGGCAGAUUGGUUUCUUCAGAGUUGGUUUUUGACUUUGAGAGGUAAAACUCCAUGUCUUUCAGAAUAACUAAUUAUUAAUUUUGAAUUUUCAUACAAUUUAUUUUUCUUGAAUCAUCCUUUCCUUAUGUUAUCAUACAAAUAUUUUGAUGUGCUUAUUGUCAUCCUUUCCUAGAGUCAAGAUCUAAAUGCUAUAAUUUUAUCUUCUUCCUUUUCUGUUCUGUUACUAAUAAUAAAGAGCUUGUUUCUUCCUAAGUUUGCCUCUGAAUUAUCUUCACAUUUCCAUUCCAUUCAUCAGCUGGGAAACAAUUACAAGAACACAAGGCAGAUUGGUUUCUCUUCUCUUCCGGCUCAUCAGCUUCUUUCAGUUAAAACUCCAGUGUUAAUUUUGACUUUGAGAGGUAAAUAACACCUUGUCUUUUAUAAUAACUAAUUAUUAAUUUUGAAUUUUCAUACAAUUUAUUUUUCUUGCAUCAUCCUUUCCUUAUGUUAUUGUGAUGUAUUUAAUGGUGUGUACUAGACCUGAUUUAGCUUUUACUGUUAGUACACUUAGCAGGUAUAUGUCAAACCCUGGUCCCACGCAUUGGGAAGCUUUGAAAUGGUUGUUUAAAUAUUUGAAAGGAACAUGCAAUGUUGGUUUAGUAUAUAAGUUUAUAUCUCUAACUACCAAGUCCAUCUUUUAAUUCGGUAUUGAGCACCUAGCCCUAAUGGGCCGAUUCCCUCUAAAUACCUAACUUAAUUGGGUUACUACAAUUGUGGUGUGGAUCUUUAAUACAUAUUUCAAUCCCG